rnacentral:rRNA from 1 species
GGGAAAACUUUCAGCAGAACAAUAAGACGUAGAAAGUAAACUAGUAGUUAGUCCCUAGUAACGGCGAGUGAAGCGGCAACAGCUCAAAUUUGAAAUCUGGCUCUUUUAGAGUCCGAGUUGUAAUUUGCAGAGGGAGCUUUGGCUUUGGCAGCGGUCCAAGUUCCUUGGAACAGGACGUCACAGAGGGUGAGAAUCCCGUACGUGGUCGCUGGCUAUUGCCGUGUAAAGCCCCUUCGACGAGUCGAGUUGUUUGGGAAUGCAGCUCUAAAUGGGAGGUACAUUUCUUCUAAAGCUAAAUAUUGGCCAGAGACCGAUAGCGCACAAGUAGAGUGAUCGAAAGAUGAAAAGCACUUUGGAAAGAGAGUCAAACAGCACGUGAAAUUGUUGAAAGGGAAGCGCUUGCAGCCAGACUUGCUUGCAGUUGCUCAUCCGGGCUUUUGCCCGGUGCACUCUUCUGUAGGCAGGCCAGCAUCAGUUUGGGCGGUAGGAUAAAGGUCUCUGUCACGUACCUCUCUUCGGAGAGGCGUUAUCGGGGAGGUGACAUACUACCAGCCUGAACUGAGGUCCGCGCAUCUGCUAGGAUGCUGGCGUAAUGGCUGUAAGCGGCCCGUCCUGAAACACGGACCAAGGAGUCUAACAUCUAUGGAGGUUUGGGUGUCAAGCCCGAGCGCGUAAUGAAAGUGAACGGAGGUAGGACCGCAAGGCUGCACUAUCGCCAGAUCCCGAUGUCUUCGGAAUCACCUGAGUAAGAGCAUGGUUGUUGGGACACGAAAGAUGGUCCAAUAUGCAAGAAUCGGGUGAAGCCAGACGAAACUCGGACUGGAAAGACGCCGGGGUUCAAACGUGCAAAUCGAUGGUCCAAUCGCGCAUAGUGCGAAAUGACUAGUCUACUAUCUACGUAGCUUGGUUCCUGCCAAAGUUUUC